GGGUGGGUGGGAUCUGGCAGUGAUCUGGCAGCCGAGGGGUCACAGGAUGACAGGAUGAUCACUGAUGGACAGGAUGAUCACUGUCUGACAGGAUGACAACUGACAGGCUGACAGUAACUGCCACUGGCAGUGAAGGGCUCUUCUGCUCCGCCACCUGCCACAACCGCCUGCAGUCAUAUACAGGGAGAGAGCCUGCAGUCAUAUACAUAGAGAGAGCCUGCAGCAGAAAUUUAAAGGUGCGGUGUGCAGCAGAAGACAUGAUUUGCAGUGGGUGAGGACGCCAGGACGCUCCAAGCACUGAUGACAGCUGUUUCGUAGAAAACACCUACUUCUUCAGAUCGGUACUGGUUAAAAGACCUGUAGGAACUGACGUCAGCAGGUGAACAUGUGACAAAAAGGCGCAAAAACAUUAAAAACAACCAUAAAAACAAGCAAUGCAAUGAAAAAUAUAGAUUAUGUAACACUAAUCCGUUUAUAAGAAUACACCUAGGUCCAAUUUAUCAUUAAGUCCAAGUUUACCUUGUGCAUGCGUGCGGAGGAUCCAUCUUGCCUUUGCACAGAGCAGCUCUUUUUUCCUAUCUGUACCUUUGCAAUGUAGGAUCCUUUGGAUCCCGUAGAACUUCAUAUGUGCUGGAUUAUCACCAUGUAUUUGUUGAAAAUGCUCGAUUACUCUCGGGGAUACUUUUCUUGACUUUAAUGAGUAUACAUGCUUGCAGAAGCGGACAUUCAUAGGACGGUUGGUACUGCCUAUGUAGAAUCGUCCGCAUUCGCAAGUAAGGCAAUAGACAACAUAAUCAGAACGACAGCAUAUUAGUUAUUUUAUUCUAACUGGGACUCCCCCAACGCGGAAAUAUUUACCUAUUGCAUAGUAGGGGCACCAGUUGCAAUUUUUGCACUUAUAGUUACCUAUGGGGGAGGCAUCAUGUAACCAGUUAUGUUUGGUUGUGGAAAACCUGCUGCGUGUGAUAGUAUCACUAAGAUUAGGUACACGUUUAAAUGCUAUCAUGGGUUUAUUCUGGGCAUACUUUCCGAGAAUUGGAUCUUUUUGGAUUAGGUACCAGUUACGGUAUAGUGCGUUUUUAAUGAUGUUAGACAUUGGACUAUAGGCGAAGGUGAAGCAGAAUCUAUGAUCCUCUGUACCAGCUCUGCUUCUUUUUCUGCAUUUCUGAGUGGAUUUUGCUAGUAGAGUAUCCCGGUUCUGCUUAUUAGCUUUAUUGUAUGCUUUGAUUAAUGUAUCAUGAGGGUAUCCCCUGUCUAAGAGACGUUUAUAUACAGUGGGGAUCAAAAGUUUGGGAACC